GGGUCUACAGAGUUGGAGAAUGUCGGCAAAGCUGGCUUGGUGACAAUCCAAGGAAAAAUCUCAACUGUGCUGGGAACUAUUCUUGUUUGUGCAUAUAUAUUCGUUACCUUUUUCCCUGACCAAGCAGAGAAGCUAUUCCAAUUGGCCUCUGCAGGCUAAGCCUAAUAAAUUCAUUGUAGUCUUUCUUGAUUUUGUUCUUCCUCACUCAUUAUGCAUUUAUGCAUGUAGCAUAAUUAAGGAACGUGUGAUUAGAAUUGAGGGGGAAAAACAUGAAAUGUGAAUAAAGUAAUGUAAGAAUUAGUAAUGUGAGUAUAUGGCUAUGAUGCUCAAGAAACCAAAUGGUUUAUAUCA